AAAAAGAAGUUACUCCAGAAAUUAAAACAGAAAAAAAAGGAAAAAGAAAUUAAUGCAAAACCUCUUUCUGCAAAAGCUAAGAAACAAGAAAAAAUAGAUUCUCUAAAGAAGCUAAAGCAGCAUAGGAAUACUAAGAUAGCUAAAAUGGACUCUACACUGAAAAUUAAGUCAUCAAAGGACUUCUUUUCUCGUCUGCAAGAGACAAAUACUUUGCAAAUGAAAAAGAAAAAAUGAAUAUAUCAGAGCAAGAUACGAAUAUAUGUAUAUAUUUUUUAAAUAUGUGAAUAAAAUGUAAUUUCAUAUUUAUAGUUA